ensembl:miRNA gga-mir-6618 gga-mir-6618
CGGCACCCAUCUCCCGCCGAGCAGCAGAGGCUGCUGUUCCUCUCCUGCCUGCAGUUGCCGGGGACUCGCAGCAGCUCUCUCCUCCUCGCCUCCCUUACGUAAGCAGCAGC